rnacentral:rRNA from 1 species
UUGACCUCGGAUCAGGUAGGAAUACCCGCUGAACUUAAGCAUAUCAAUAAGCGGAGGAAAAGAAACCAACAGGGAUUGCCUUAGUAACGGCGAGUGAAGCGGCAACAGCUCAAAUUUGAAAUCUGGCCCCUCCGGGGUCCGAGUUGUAAUUUGGAGAGGAUGUUUCGGGCACGGUCCGGGCUUAAAUUUCUUGGAACAGAAUGUCACAGAGGGUGAGAAUCCCGUCUGGAGCUCGGACACGGCCUGUGUGAAACUCCUUCGACGAGUCGAGUUGUUUGGGAAUGCAGCUCUAAAUGGGUGGUAAAUUUCAUCUAAAGCUAAAUAUUGGCCAGAGACCGAUAGCGCACAAGUAGAGUGAUCGAAAGAUGAAAAGCACUUUGAAAAGAGAGUUAAACAGUACGUGAAAUUGUUGAAAGGGAAGCGCUGGCAACCAGACUUGCGCGUCGGGGUUCCCCCUUGCUUCUGCCUGGGUUACUCCCCGGCGUUCAGGCCAACAUCGGUUUCGGGGGUUGGUUAAAGGCCCUGGGAAUGUACCUACCCUCCGGGGUAGACUUAUAGCCCAGGGUGUCAUGCGACCUCCCGGGACCGAGGAACGCGCUUCGGCUCGGAUGUUGGCGUAAUGGUUGUCAGCGACCCGUCUUGAAACACGGACCAAGGAGUCUAACAUCUAUGCGAGUGUUAGGGUGUCAAACCCUUACGCGGAAUGAAAGUGAACGGAGGUAGGAAGCCCCUCAAAAAGGCUGCACUAUCGACCGAUCCUGAAGUUUACGGAUGGAUUUGAGUAAGAGCAUAGCUGUUGGGACCCGAAAGAUGGUGAACUAUGCCUGAAUAGGGUGAAGCCAGAGGAAACUCUGGUGGAGGCUCGCAGCGGUUCUGACGUGCAAUCGAUCGUCAAAUUUGGGUAUAGGGGCGAAAGACUAAUCGAACCAUCUGGUAGCUGGUUCCUGCCGAAGUUCCCUCAGGAUAGCAGUAACGUUUUCAGUUUAUGAGGUAAAGCGAAUGAUUAGAGGCCUUGGGGUUGAAACAACCUUAACUAUUCUCAAACUUUAAAUAUGUAAGAAGUCCUUGUCACUUAGUUGGACGUGGACAUUUGAAUGUAUCGUUACUAGUGGGCCAUUUUUGGUAAGCAGAACUGGCGAUGCGGGAUGAACCGAACGAGAGGUUAAGGUGCCGGAGUGCACGCUCAUCAGACACCA